rnacentral:rRNA from 1 species
GACAGAGGUGCCAAGCGUUAGGCGGAAUCACUGGGCUUAAAGCGUGUGUAGGCGGACUGUUAAGUACCUUGUGAAAUCCCACGGCUCAACCGUGGAACUGCUCGGUAUACUGGCGGUCUUGAGCUGCUUAGGGGUCGUCGGAACAAGCGGCGGAGCGGUGAAAUGCGUAGAUAUCAGAAGGAACGCCGGUGGCGAAAGCGACUCUCUGGCUCGUAUCUGACGCUGAAGCGCGAAAGCUUGGGUAGCAAACGGG